rnacentral:rRNA from 1 species
CGGCAGGCCUAACACAUGCAAGUCGAGCGGUAGCACAGAGAGCUUGCUCUCGGGUGACGAGCGGCGGACGGGUGAGUAAUGUCUGGGAAACUGCCUGAUGGAGGGGGAUAACUACUGGAAACGGUAGCUAAUACCGCAUAAUGUCGCAAGACCAAAGUGGGGGACCCUCGGGCCUCAUGCCAUCAGAUGUGCCCAGAUGGGAUUAGCUAGUAGGUGGGGUAACGGCUCACCUAGGCGACGAUCCCUAGCUGGUCUGAGAGGAUGACCAGCCACACUGGAACUGAGACACGGUCCAGACUCCUACGGGAGGCAGCAGUGGGGAAUAUUGCACAAUGGGCGCAAGCCUGAUGCAGCCAUGCCGCGUGUGUGAAGAAGGCCUUCGGGUUGUAAAGCACUUUCAGCGGGGAGGAAGGCGUUAAGGUUAAUAACCUUGGCGAUUGACGUUACCCGCAGAAGAAGCACCGGCUAACUCCGUGCCAGCAGCCGCGGUAAUACGGAGGGUGCAAGCGUUAAUCGGAAUUACUGGGCGUAAAGCGCACGCAGGCGGUCUGUCAAGUCGGAUGUGAAAUCCCCGGGCUCAACCUGGGAACUGCAUUCGAAACUGGCAGGCUAGAGUCUUGUAGAGGGGGGUAGAAUUCCAGGUGUAGCGGUGAAAUGCGUAGAGAUCUGGAGGAAUACCGGUGGCGAAGGCGGCCCCCUGGACAAAGACUGACGCUCAGGUGCGAAAGCGUGGGGAGCAAACAGGAUUAGAUACCCUGGUAGUCCACGCCGUAAACGAUGUCGAUUUGGAGGUUGUGCCCUUGAGGCGUGGCUUCCGGAGCUAACGCGUUAAAUCGACCGCCUGGGGAGUACGGCCGCAAGGUUAAAACUCAAAUGAAUUGACGGGGGCCCGCACAAGCGGUGGAGCAUGUGGUUUAAUUCGAUGCAACGCGAAGAACCUUACCUGGUCUUGACAUCCACAGAACUUUCCAGAGAUGGAUUGGUGCCUUCGGGAACUGUGAGACAGGUGCUGCAUGGCUGUCGUCAGCUCGUGUUGUGAAAUGUUGGGUUAAGUCCCGCAACGAGCGCAACCCUUAUCCUUUGUUGCCAGCGGUUCGGCCGGGAACUCAAAGGAGACUGCCAGUGAUAAACUGGAGGAAGGUGGGGAUGACGUCAAGUCAUCAUGGCCCUUACGACCAGGGCUACACACGUGCUACAAUGGCAUAUACAAAGAGAAGCGACCUCGCGAGAGCAAGCGGACCUCAUAAAGUAUGUCGUAGUCCGGAUUGGAGUCUGCAACUCGACUCCAUGAAGUCGGAAUCGCUAGUAAUCGUAGAUCAGAAUGCUACGGUGAAUACGUUCCCGGGCCUUGUACACACCGCCCGUCACACCAUGGGAGUGGGUUGCAAAAGAAGUAGGUAGCUUAACCUUCGGGAGGGCGCUUACCACUUUGUGAUUCAUGACUGGGGUG